GCUUUUAUAAUUUAAUCAAAAUAUUGGUCUUGUAAACCAAACAUAAGUUCACCUUUAAAAGCA
rnacentral:tRNA from 1 species